rnacentral:rRNA from 1 species
UACGUAGGGACCAAGCGUUGUUCGGAUUUACUGGGCGUAAAGGGCGCGUAGGCGGCCUCUGCAAGUCGACUGUGAAAUCUCCGGGCUUAACCCGGAACGGUCAGCCGAUACUGCAGGGCUAGAGUGCAGAAGGGCAACUGGAAUUCUCGGUGUAGCGGUGAAAUGCGUAGAUAUCGAGAGGAACACCUGCGGCGAAGGCGGUUCUCUGGGACGGUACUGACGCUGAGACGCGAAGCGUGGGGAGCGAACAGG